AACCCCAAAUGGGGAAUCCCCUGCAGCACCACAGACCUGCUCUGCUGGCUCCUUGCAAAGGUCUCUUUUGGCGUUUCCUUGUUUUGCCCUAACGAGUUUGGUGUGUCCCUCCCUUGUUAACCGGCAGCAGUCGGUUCCUGGAGCUGGGCAUGAUCUGCCUCGUGGGUGUGCUGCGUGCCGCGCGGUGGCCUUGCACAAUUCCUGGGGUUAUCGUCCCAAAGUUAUUCGAGGGUGUCACAAAUCGUAGAUCAGGGAGAGUAUAAAAGAGCCCUCGCUGCACCGCACAGCCACCGCCGCUGCCGCCGCUCUCCUGCUCACAUCGCUGUCGGAGGAACCCCACGACCACCUGUUGGGAGAUGAAGACCGACCUGGAGCUCGCGCUGGAGUGCGCCAUCAACAUCUACCACCACUACGCCAUCCGGAACCCAAUGGAUGAUUACCUGAGCCGGAAUGAGUUUGCCAUGCUGCUGAAGGAGAACGCCAAGCCCUUCCUCGCCGACACCAUGCCGCCCAACAUGUCUGUUGAUGAGUACAUCAAGCAGCUCUUUGCCAAAUCUGACAGCAACCACGAUGGCCGCUUGAAGUUCACCGAGUUCCUCACCACGCUCAGCCUCGUGGCCAUCGAUGCCCACAACCGGUCCCACAAGAAGCCUGGAGAGCAUGGCCACGACCAUGGACAUGGCCACAGCCACAGCCAUGGCCACGGUCCCCACCAUUAAGGCCGUUCCUGCAGAGCUGUGCUCCUCCAGCAGCAGCAUCUCCCCCGACUGCCCAUGAGCACACAACCAAGGCUGCUCUCUCUGCUUCUGCCUAUGACACUGAAAUAAAUUGUUUAUCUCUAUGCA
rnacentral:lncRNA from 1 species